rnacentral:lncRNA from 1 species
AAAUGCUCAUAUUUCACAAGUGAGAGAGAGAAAAAAAAAUCCCAAUCCCAAAUGUUAGUUGGAAAAAAAAAAUGUUUCAGACUUGCUCAGCUGUGGUUGUUAAACCAAUCUCUUACUCUUAAUUACAUGCAAAAGGUUCCUGGUUCUAAUUAUGGACCUUGGGGAAAUAGCCUGUCUCCCCAAACCAAUAACGCCUCAUGUUAACUUCAGCUCUUUUGUGUUUAAUAUCCUACUGCUGGAUUUCAGCUUCCCUAGAUGAUCUGUAAAUUUGACUUUUUCCACUUCAGUUUUCACAGCGCUGCUCAGAGCAGGGGCUAGGAGACCUUGUUUCCCCGGUGAUUUCUUUAUAACAUUUCUUGCUACUUGAGUACAAAAUCCUCUAACCUAAGAUAUCCACAGCACAGGUUGAAACUCUUGCUUUUACUGUGUUAUUGCCCCUCUUCCUAGAGCUCAUAGCCCUCAGUGACUACGUCAAAGGCUCUUGAAGAGAUGGGAAUGAAGCAUGCGUAGUGGGACUCAUUGUCCUCAGGAUGGAGGUAGACAGAGUUUCUAGGGGUCAGCGGUCCCAGGUGCAUUCCCCUUGUUGGGUUUGGCCCCUCUGAACAUUCUGAAACUCACAAGAGCAAAAUGGAGCAUGAAAUGGCUGGAGCUUAGGAGCAGAGAUUGUCAGCUUCUGAGAGGCAUUAGAAAAUAUCCAGUCCAAAACCCUCAUUUGCCAGAUGUAGCUGGAGAUCUAGAAAGGCAAAAGAACUUGCUCACAUCACAGAGGUAGGUAAUCACCAAACCAGGAUUUUGCCUGGUCUAGUUUGUAGACACCAGGAUUGGUACCUGGGAUUCUUCUGUAGACAUUUCCCAGACUCAUCCUGGUUUGAAAGUCAACUUUUCAAGUCCCAAAAAGGUGACUGAGCAUGAGCUAGGCCCACUUUGGCUUUGGGCCUUUCUCUACCUCUUGUGAUAAACAAUUUUUUUUCACUUCUUUGAUCUCAGUUUCUUUACCAGUGAAAUGGGAAUUAAUCUAUUCACUAUACAAUGGUAUUGUUAAGGGAAUAAAAUAGGAAAGAAGAGUGAAGAAUUGUGAGUAGUUCUCUUGAAAGAUGGUGGAAUGAGAUGGACAUCAUUACCCUAGGUGCAUGUAUGGCUGCACAUAUGAUGGGACACUAC